UAUUCACAUGACUUGUCUGCUUGAUAUUGCAUUUAUAUUGUGAGGAGAAAUUCUUUCUUGGUCACUCAUGGCAAUUAAAGGGUUUAUACAGAGGCUCAGAUGAAGAAAAAUGGGAUGAAAUAAUGAAGGAGGCCAGUGAGGAAAUGAUAAGAAAGAAAUCAGCCAUGAAAGUACAGAAUCACAAAUCCACAAAGGAAGCUGCCAAUAGCAAUGGUACCAGUUCUAGGGCUACAGAAACCACUGCAAAGGAAGCCAGAAAAAAUGAAGCACAAGCUGCAAGCCCCUAUCAGUGCAAUGAACCUGAGGUGGAUUCCAAUGGUAGAAGCAAAGUUAGACUGGUUGAAAAAGCAAACAGGGGAAAGUCUCUACUAUUCUGUGCCCCAACUUUCUCUCCUCCAAAUGAGGUGUACAGAUGCACCAAGAAGGAAAGACUUGCAGACUUAGAGAAUCCUGACAUUAUAGGCUCUACUGUUCCUGUGAAGCCAAUCCUCAAAUGUGAAAAUUCCAUUAUAGACAUUCCAGCUCUUCAACAUCAUCUAUUCACUUGCCUUGCUCACAGAUUCAGCCAGAUAUAUUGACGAAGAAUCGAAACUAGUUCAAGCUGAGCUAUCAUCUUUGAAGGAAGUCUGUUCCAAGAUAGAGCGUGAGUUGCAGCAGGUCGAGUCGUUGGAAGAGUCAGAGGCCGAGUGGGAAAGUUUAAACCAAGACUGGCUCACACUUGCUAAGUUCUGUUCAGAAGUCAUGAAAUAAAGAGAAGACCUUCUUGCUCUAUAAGUUAAAUAGGGAUACAUAGAAACCUAUUCCGCUUAUGAAAAAAAACAAGUUCGUAAUUAGGAUGGUGAUUAAAUUAAUCCAGAUCCUAGGAAUUUGUUUGAGGAAUGGAUGGAAAAUUAUUCAAUACCAUGCAUGUUUCUUUUUUCGAAUUCACCUGUAUGACUUCGGUAUGAUUCUGUAGGUUUGAUUGUUUAAUAGUUUUUUUUUAAAAUUAUCAUUAUUUUCCAAUUCCUUUUACUAAACGUAGAGGCAGAGUGGAACAAUCUCAGGGCAAAGUAAAGCAAAACCAAUGCAAUCUUGGGUUACUUUCGGCGCUCAAUUGAAAUUUUCUUUCUAAUGCCACUAAUAUAAUUUUUUUAUUAUUUCCAUACAUUGUCACCAACGUAGUGAUUUCAAUAAUCUAUUCGGUGUUUUAGUUUGAUGACUGAAUGGAACAUUAAAGAGUAUUUUUAUUUAAAAUUAGCAGUAGAAAUACUCAGAUGCUGUUUUCGUUUUUUCGUUUCGGGUUGAGAUGAAUUUCUGCAAAUUAGUUUCAUGAACGCCUGCGUUACCUUACCGUAUUCGGAUGAUAUUUAUAUCAGCGCUGAUGUUGGACUAAGACGGAGAGACUGUGACGCAGUCAGAAUGACGUCAUUCUGUGCUCAGAGCAUAUCCGCAUCAAAAUGUUUGACUUGAUGGACAGUUAGAUCUCUGAUUCGAUGAAUUAGUUAGCAUUAAAAUAGCAAUACCGUGGCUUCAGAAAAUAAAAAAAA